UAGCUCUGAACAAUCGGUUUCGAA
rnacentral:siRNA from 1 species